rnacentral:rRNA from 1 species
CCUACGGGGUGCAGCAGUGGGGAAUAUUGGGCAAUGGGCGCAAGCCUGACCCAGCAACGCCGCGUGAAGGAAGAAGGCCCUCGGGUUGUAAACUUCUAUUGUCAGGGACGAAAAAAAUGACGGUACCUGACGAAUAAGCCACGGCUAACUACGUGCCAGCAGCCGCGGUAAUACGGAGGUGGCAAGCGUUAUCCGGAUGUACUGGGUGUAAAGGGCGUGUAGGAGGGAGAGCAAGUCAGAUGUGAAAUUCCAGGGCUCAACCCUGGAACUGCAUUUGAAACCGUUUUUCUUGAGUGAUGGAGAGGCAGGCGGAAUUCCGUGUGUAGCGGUGAAAUGCGUAGAUAUACGGAGGAACACCAGUGGCGAAGGCGGCCUGCUGGACAUUAACUGACGCUGAGGCGCGAAAGCGUGGGGAGCAAACAGGAUUAGAUACCCGAGUAGUC